rnacentral:rRNA from 1 species
CAGUAGCCGCGGUAAUACAGAGGGUGCGAGCGUUAAUCGGAUUUACUGGGCGUAAAGCGCGCGUAGGUGGUUUGUUAAGUUGGAUGUGAAAGCCCCGGGCUCAACCUGGGAACUGCAUCCAAAACUGGCAAGCUAGAGUACGGUAGAGGGUGGUGGAAUUUCCUGUGUAGCGGUGAAAUGCGUAGAUAUAGGAAGGAACACCAGUGGCGAAGGCGACCACCUGGACUGAUACUGACACUGAGGUGCGAAAGCGUGGGGAGCAAACAGGAUUAGAUACCCCCGUAGUCCCUGUCUCUUAUAC